CCGGAUCCCGAUCGAUACGGAUCUUAGUAUUGCCUACCGCUCUCGUUUUCGCGAACUCCGCUAUCUCGUCAUCGGUUUUAUUUAACCGAACCUGCAUUAGUGCAACGCCUUUAAAUUGUGAUCGGUUGUAUGACUAUCGUCAACCGAACCGGAGGGCGCAAGUACGGGGUGCAUUGCCGAAUCGGCGCCGCUCAUUACGUUGCGGUGUGUACCACGCCAGGACGAUCACGCGUUUACUGCGUGACUUCCGCAUUCCAGCCAUCAUCGUACUCGUUACGACUUCCGCACAGUUUGCGGGCGCGUCUUGAAGAUUUCCGUCUCGUAAAAAAGAUCUCCGUUUCGUAAACGUUCGCGUCACGCGGAAUCCGGAACGGUUUAUUGGCAAUUCUGCUUGUUGAUUCACUGCUGAUAAAUUGUGCUCAGUUAGAGAAAAAAUUUUUUCGUUAGCUGUCUCAUUUAAAUUUUCGAAGUUUAUCGACGAUUGUCUUAAACUAAAAUUAAAAAGUGAAAGUGAAUUAGAAAAAUUAGAAAUAUCCGCGUUACCUGCAUUGUCACAUGCAAGAUUUCCGAAUACUCACAGCGGCUCGUAAUUCCGCGUGUGACACCUACCAGCCGUAGCUAUACCGCUCGCAUCGACAUUGUGCAUCACUAAUUAAUAAACGUCUGAACCAACAUCAGUGCUGAGUUUGUUUCUUUGGAAAGUCACCCGCCUUGGAGAGCGAACCUUCCGUUUUAAGGUAGCACCAGCCUAUCCUCAACGCGAACACGUUUGGAAAGCAGUUCUGAAAGAUUAAUUGCUACAAAUUUCGGAUAUCCAGCCUGACCUAGCUACACUCUAUAAUAUCUGACGACGAGACCCUGCCGCCGAACUUGGUUGUUGCCGUAUGUUACACUAUAGUCUUUCAAGCGGUAGGCCAUCGUAUACAUCGCUGAUCUCACCCGUCGCCUUAGCUUAGAGACGCAAUUUCCAACCGCGGAAGCCAAAUUAACGCCGAAUUUGAUAAAUGAUGCCAACAGUCUUCUUAGCGAUACUAGUACAAUAUGGCGAGACGAUGCAGAAUCUAUGGUUGGCUCUGUAUGCUGGGUCUCCCCGGAGUGCUACAGAAGUCAAUCCAGCCUCAUUGACUUCCGCAUCUCGGUCCAUCGGUCGGGCGGAAGUACAGCUCAGGUAUUUACUGCAGCUGUUUCUUGAAGGCAGUAUAGGAUGGGCUGCGGUGAUAGCUACCGUUCUUCGAGACGCGGCGUUCAUGGCUAGAACUAUCAGAACGGCACAUGCACCGAUGCAAACUUUCGACUCUAUAAUCAAAGAGAUGGAUUGCUUACGUUGACCAAGUGGUCUCAUUCAGAAUGUUUGGAAUACCGUCUUUUCAUGUCCAACAUCCAAAGCCAGAUAUCGUUGUUGAAUCGACUGGUGAUAAUCAAGCAACAGCAGGAACAGGAACAGAUACCGGAAAGACCUUUGCCAAGCCCGGCUCCGUCCGCCGGCAGCAAUCAACGCGGCAUUCUCUCCCGCUCGAGGCAUUCUUCGAUCAGUCA